ensembl:lncRNA
UCUUCACUCAUGUGAAAUGAAAGGAAAUGACCAGCCAGUACGUAAUGAUUUUGCCUUUUCAUCUGAGAGAAACAAACAUAAGAAAAACAGGCAGCAACAGCUGCCCUGUGCUUAACUGUGUAGUGGGCUGUGCAACAGAAGCCCUCAGCAAUGGGAUAAAUGGAACAGCUUUCUUUAUACAGAGGAAAUGCUGUUGUUGCUUCAGAGAUCCGCAUCUCCCAUAAAGGAGUACCUCAUGUGAAGAUGUCAGCUCUUUUCCUUGCUUUUAAGUCUAAGCCCCUUUGGCAGUUGAUGAAAUUCUGCUCUCAGAAACAGUCACCUGGCUUCUUCCAACUCAGCGGUUCCAUCCUUACAGCCAUGCCUGGAGCUCAACGCCUGCUGGCAGAGCCCUCUCCUCUCAGCCUCCACAGGUCAGCACGAUAGCACUGUCUCUCUAUGCUUAGGGAGAGGCCUGUCCCGUACAUCCCGUGCCCCCGCAAGACGCCUACUACAACACUGGAUAAAUUUCUAUUCAGAUGCAACUCAGGAUUACAGUUCAAGGCAGAUGGAGUAAGAGACUCACACCCAGAAAAAGAGGUGGUGAAAGUGACUGUUCAGACCUCCCGUUGCUGAGUUUCAGAAGAACGGAAUGUAGAAAACAAAGGAUAAAAUUUAAAAGGUAAAAGUUUACUGCUCGUUAAAUUCUCCUUUGGGAAAUGAAGUUUUGUUAACAACUGAACCUUCUAAAACACCCACUGAUUUUCAUGAAAUGCUACAAUGAAAAGAACUUCCAAGUGCUUCUCAAAGCCAUUUAUUAGUUAAUUAUCUUAGGGAAAUGCAUUUGUUUUCCUGAAACAGCAUCUCCUCCAGAAAUUUACAUUUUAAGGAAUUAUAAAAAGUUCCCAUUCAGAAUGAGAACAACUUUUAGAAUCAGAAUUUUCUACGAGUUCUGAUUAUUGAGCAGCCGCAGACAAUUGGAGUGAUGCUGUCACAGAAAUAACUUGAGAGUUUCACUGGAGAUGGUAAAGAUGCUUAGAAAUUAAUUCUAAGGCUGGAGAACAGAGUCACAUUCUUCCAUCACUUCUGUCAGUGUAAGAUCUGGUGGGAAUAAUAACGCUAAUGGUUUUUUGCUCCAGGUCUGAUCACUAAAUUGUAAUAUCCUGAUGUGAACUGAUACAAAUGUCCAGGUUUCAAAGAGAUGAGUGCAUUUGAAACGUAAUUAAAGGUUAAUUUGUUUUUACAUUAACAAGCACAAUAAAUAAACAGAUACAGUUAAAAAAUAAUUAAAUUCAAUAAUGAAUUAACUGUGUGGAAAAAUACUGCUGUGUUCUGAAAAUCUGAAAGGUCUUUGUAGGAAAAAAUGCAUUGUGGGAAAAUUUCACAUAACAAAUGCUGUCUUCGUAAACAAAACAUUGCUGAUAGGAUUACUCACCUCCAAGAAGAUGCCAACCGCUGUUCAUCUCUCAUUCUUUUGCUGAUCUAAAUUUAAUACUGAUGUCAAUCCAGAUCUUGUUGCAAGUGAUGACUGAUCCCAACUAUUUGGUCAUCACUUUAAUGCAGGGGACUUACACCUUGCAGAAAUGUGUUAUUUUGUAUCAGUACAUUUCUGUGAGGUGUAGGUCAAAUAUACCACUGGGACAAACAUCAGAACCAGGUAUUUUGUAUAUCCUUGUAUGUCUUACAGCCCACAGGACACUUCUGACCCCUGUAUCAUUAUCUUAUAAAACUUCUGCACUUGGAAAUCUGCUGAUUCUGGGAACCUUACUAAUGGCUCAUGAGGCAGAGUAAAAUGCUGCCUCAUUCUGCUGCUUAUACAGUUUUAACAAAGGAAGGUAAAGCUUUGCUUUGUUUCCAAAACAAGCAAAUUCAAACAAAGCUAUACAGAAAAGUAUGGUUAAUCUCUGAUGACAUUUGCACAAAUUUCGGUUGGGUUAGCACAUCACCAGUUACGUCAACACUUACAGUACAACCAUGUAAAAAAUAAACAUUUACAUAAUUACAUUUACAUAAUUAUCAAGAUGGUGAUUAUUCAUUAUUGAGCAUUGCGCACAAUAUGAAUUGUAUAUAUAUUGUAAUACGUGUACACACACACAUUAUACAUUUUAUAC